AUGAACGCUGGCGGCGUGCCUAAUACAUGCAAGUCGAGCGAACAGACGAGGAGCUUGCUCCUCUGACGUUAGCGGCGGACGGGUGAGUAACACGUGGAUAACCUACCUAUAAGACUGGGAUAACUUCGGGAAACCGGAGCUAAUACCGGAUAAUAUAUUGAACCGCAUGGUUCAAUAGUGAAAGACGGUUUUGCUGUCACUUAUAGAUGGAUCCGCGCGGCAUUAGCUAGUUGGUAAGGUAACGGCUUACCAAGGCAACGAUGCGUAGCCGACCUGAGAGGGUGAUCGGCCACACUGGAACUGAGACGCGGUCCAGCCUCCUACGGGAGGCAGCAGUAGGGAAUCUUCCGCAAUGGGCGAAAGCCUGACGGAGCAACGCCGCGUGAGUGAUGAAGGUCUUCGGAUCGUAAAACUCUGUUAUUAGGGAAGAACAAAUGUGUAAGUAACUAUGCACGUCUUGACGGUACCUAAUCAGAAAGCCACGGCUAACUACGU
rnacentral:rRNA from 1 species